rnacentral:tRNA from 1 species
GAGGGUAUAGCUCAGUGGGAGAGCGUGUGCUUAGCAUGCACGAGGUCCUGGGUUCAAUUCCCAGUACCUCCA